rnacentral:rRNA from 1 species
UACGGAGGGUGCAAGCAUUGAUCGGAAUUACUGGGCGUAAAGGGCGCGUAGGCGGUUAUAAAAGUCGGAUGUGAAAUACCGGGGCUCAACCCCGGUGCUGCAUUUGAAACUCUAUAGCUAGAGUUCAGUUAGGGUAAACGGAAUUCCACGUGUAGCGGUGAAAUGCGUAGAUAUGUGGAAGAACACCGGUGGUGAAGACGGUUUACUGGGCUGAUACUGACGCUGAGGCGCGAAAGCAUGGGGAGCAAACAGG